AAAUCUACACUAUAUUAAAAAGGGAGUUUUCAAUUUCAAAUUUAUUUUAAAGUUGAGUGGCAAUUUUGUAGUUAGAUUAAAAUCGAAGGUUUAAUUAUAAGCUAAUAAGCUAUACAUUUUUUUUCUUUUUCUUUAACUUCAUAUUUUUCUAUUUUAUUUCUUUUUAAAAUUGUGAAAUUCGACUAAUUAUAAAAUAUUUGAUAUGCAUAUCAAAUUAAAGAUCAUGACAAG
rnacentral:lncRNA from 1 species